GUACUUGCUUCGGCAGUACAUAUACUAAAAUACGAACGCUACAGAGAAGAUUAGCAUGGCCCCUGCGCAAGGAUGAAAAAAAAAACCUUAAGAGCGAAUGGAAAAUUCAU